ensembl:lncRNA
UAAGGGCUGGCACUGGAGCUGUGGGGCUUUAGAUGGAGAUCCCUGCCAACCUGAGCCUUUCUAAAGCUAUAUUGGCAAAUUGCAGAGCGGAUAGAGAAGUGUGGACUGUGGCUGCACACCUGGAACUGUGUGAUUCCAAACACCCUACUGGGCAGCACAGCACAGCUUGACCCGCUCAUAGCAGUUCCUUGUGUGGGGCAGAGCUCUGUGCAGCCAGCCCUGGCUCUGCGGUUGUUCACUUAAGAGCACUGCUCCUUUGUAUUCACACUUGUCCAUUUUAAAUUCAGAAUAACUGAAAUUAUUGCAUUUCCUACUGUGAGGUUUACUCUAAUUGAUUAAGCAAGUUCAGCACAGCCGUUGCUUACCACUAAUGUGUAACUUCUGCUUCCUAUUGCUGUGCUGAGAUCAGCAUGGAGCACAGGUGAACUGCAAACAUGAGCAUUGCUUGUAUUAAUGAAGACUGUUUGGAACUGGGUAACAUUGUCAUGGAUGUAAAAGUCAUAAAAGUCACAAACUUAAACAUCUCUGUGUACUUUCUGAUAUUCUGAAAAUGACAUUUACUUGUAGAAGGUCUGAGAAUUAAUAAAAUAGACAGCAGGGAG